AGCAACAAAUAGCCCAAGAGCAUAUGCCCAAAUCAAAUACGGUUUCCUUUGCAAUCGUUAGAGAAGGCGCUAUACAUUUUCGUACAUGUGUAAUAUAGUUCAGCUGGUAUGAAUGCAUAUUGGACUGAAUCUCACCUCCUUCGACAACUCCAACUCUGUAGCAGACGACGAACCCCAUUUCAAGGCAAGAAAUUUCAUGCCCAUAUCAUCAAAAUGGGCAUAGAACAAUCUGUUCCAUAUUUCAACGAUCUCUUAAACAUGUAUGGGAAGUGCGGUCUCAUAGAAGACGCCAAUCAACUGUUCGACGAAAUAUCCCAAAGGGACUUAGUUUCAUGGGCUUCAAUUCUCACUGCUCACAACCAAGCCAACCUACCGCACCGUACCCUCUCCAUCUUCCCCAACAUGUUAUCUCUUGAUGGGUUGCAGCCAGACCACUUCGUCUUCGCUAGCCUCACGAAAGCUUGUGCUAGCUUAGGCUCUUUAAGAAUAGGCAAGCAGGUGCAUGCCCGCUUUGUCUUGUCGCCAUUUUCGGAUGAUGAUGUUGUUAAGUCAUCACUUGUUGAUAUGUACGUGAAAGGUGGAUUGCCUGAUGAUGCGCGUUUGGUUUUUGAUUCAAUUGGUUGGAGAAAUUCGAUUUCUUGGACUGCUAUGAUUUCUGGGUAUGCUCGAAAUGGACGGAAAUCAGAAGCUGUUGAACUCUUACGAAGUAUGCCGGAGAAGAAUUUAUUUUCUUGGACUGCUUUGAUAUCUGGGUUGGUACAGUGUGGACACUGGAUUGAUGCAUUUAAACUGUUUAUUGAAAUGAGAAGAGAAGGGGUUUAUAUUGCAGACCCGUUUAUUCUUUCUACUGUUGUUGGAGCUUCUGCUAAUUUAGCGGCGUUGGAACUUGGAAAGCAAAUCCAUUGCUUAGUUGUAGCUCUUGGUUAUGAAUCUAGCUUAUUUGUUAGCAAUGGGCUGGUUGAUAUGUAUGCGAAAUGUAGUGAUGUGAUGGUGGCAAAGAACAUUUUUGAUACUAUGUGCCAAAGGGAUGUAGUUUCUUGGACUUCUAUUAUAGUUGGGAUGGCUCAACAUGGGCGAGCGGAGGAUGCAUUGUCGCUGUAUGAUGAGAUGAUUUUGACUGGACUAAAGCCAAAUGAAGUGACGUUCGUUGGAUUGAUUUAUGCUUGCAGCCAUGUCGGGUUAGUUAGCAAAGGGCGUGGUCUUUUUAAAUCCAUGGUUGAUGAUUAUGGAUUAAGUCCUUCCCUGCAGCAUUAUACAUGCGUAUUGGAUCUUUUCAGUCGGUCAGGGCACCUUGAUGAGGCCGAGAAUCUUCUCAAUACAAUGCCAUUCAAGCCUGAUGAAGCUUCUUGGGCUGCUCUCUUAUGUGCUUGUAAGCGCCACGGAAAUACCCAAAUGGGAAUUAGGAUUGCUAAUCAUCUAUUGAACAUAGAGCCAGUAGAGCCUUCAACCUAUAUACUGCUGUCCAAUACAUAUGCUGGUGCUGCUAUGUGGGAAAAUGUGUCUAAAGUGAGGAAGUUGAUGGCAAGCAUGGAAUUCAGGAGGGAACCUGGUUACAGUUGCAUUGACUUAGGAAAGGAGAGCCAGGUCUUUUGCGCCGGGGAGAUAUAUCAUACCAUGAAGGAUGAAAUUUUUGGUUUGCUUAAGGAGUUGGAUGUAGAGAUGAGGAAAAGAGGUUAUGUUCCUGAUACCAGUUCAGUUUUACAUGACAUGGAGGAGCAUGAGAAAGAAAAACAGCUCUUUUGGCAUAGUGAGAGGCUGGCUGUGGCUUAUGGACUGCUUAAGGCUGUUCCUGGGACAGUUCUACGGAUAGUGAAAAAUCUCCGUGUUUGUGGAGAUUGCCAUACUGUCCUGAAGUUCAUCUCAAGCAUCGUGGAAAGGGAAAUUAUUGUCCGGGAUGCAAGCAGGUUUCAUCACUUUAAGGAUGGAAGAUGUUCAUGUUGUGAUUUUUGGUGAUGGUGCUAUUUCGAUUGUGAAUAGCGUUAUUUCUUUAUGCUUCUGCCAUGUAUUGGCAAUUGAUUCGAGAUCCUAACUUCAAGGAUGUUUUAUGCUCCAUUCAGGAACAGGAAUUGAGAAGCCUGACUACCAUGCAACAAUUGAUGUUGAUCCAAGCUCACAUACUUAUUCAAAGGUGAUCCACGGGUUGGCUAUGUCUAAUAAGAUCUGGUCACAUAUAUGCAAUUGAUACACUCAAAAAUCCAAUGGCUCCCGCUUUGCAUAAAGUAGUUGAACCUGAAGAUAUUUUUUACAGAAGACUGGAUUAGCAUAUCCACACAUAUCUCACUGCCUUGCAUCUGGUGAUUUGACGGUGUCUUGCCUUGGAGAUAAAUAUGGAAAUGCCUGAGGGGAAUGGGUUUCUUCUGCUUGACUAGGAGUUUAAUGUGAAAGGAAGAUGGGAAAAACCGGGGCAUGGUCCGCUUUUUGGGUAUGAUUUCUGGUACCAACCCCAACACAAGACCAUGACACGCACAUCAUGGGGAGCCUCAGCAGCUUUCACCCAAGGUUUCAACCUUCAGCAUGUUUCCGUACUGUCCUGAAGUUCAUCUCAAGCAUUGUGGAAAGGGAAAUUAUUGUCCGGGAUGCAAGCAGGUUUCAUCUCUUUAUGGAUGGAAGAUGUUCAUGCUGUGAUUUUUGGUGAUGUUGCAAUUUCGAUUGUGUAUAUUGUAUUUCUUUUCUCUUCUGCCAUGUAUUGGCAAUUGAUUCGAGAUCCUAACUUCAAGGACGUUUUAUGCUCCAUUCAGGUAAGGAUUGAUGGAAUUGACAAACAGCUAGUGAGGCCAGGCAGUCUCAUUCAUUGCAAGGCUGGUUGAUUUAUAGGAGUACUGCUCUCAGAAACAUUUGAAUACUUGGAUGGUCUCCGAAACAAUCAAUCAUACUAGCCUGCAUUUCCUUCUACAAUGCAGACUGCAUUUCCUCUUCACUAUCUCUUUAUACAUCCAGACUGAUUCAUCCAGCUUUGCUUCUGCACCUUCUGGGAUCAGACUCGAUGAAAAAUGUCGCGGUCGCCUUCCAUGCCUCCUUUCCGAUACCAUUGCCGCUUGCAAGACAGGUUAAGUGUCUUCUGUGGUGGCAGCCUCAUUACUUUCUAACUAACUAUGAUGGGUGACAUCGAUUUAUUGCUAAGUCGAACUAGGAAUAACCUGUAGUUCUUCAGGAUGUUCCCUCAGCAUUUGGAUAGUUUGCUUCGAGGUAUGUCAUCCAGUUUUGUGCCUUCAAGAUGAACAACUAUUGAUAUAUUAGGGAUGAAAAUGGGGUGGGUUUGAACGGGUUUCGGGAAAGGAAAAGAAAAAGACAAUACUUGCAUACAUAUUCAAUAGGUGUUUCUUUCAGACCGCUAAUAUGAUACAAUCGUGUACUGUCUUUAAUUAUAAAAUUGAGAAAAUAAUAAAUAAAGAAAAAUGAGAGGAGGGUGAAUGUAGAAUGUGAUUUACCAUAAAGAAUAUAUUUUAUUUAUUUAUUUAUCUAUUUUUAUUUUGUAAUUAAAGACAAUGUUAUUUGUGAUUGCACCGUAGUAGGUUGUAAGGAAGCAGCUACUCCACAGCUCAGUAGACAUGUAUUGUACAAAGAAUUUUGUAAAAGGACCCUUCCAAAUAUAAUAUUGUUUUAAAGCAUGGGCACUUCUAAAAAAUUUAUAAAUAUUGGAUAGGUACUAAGCUGCUUUGGGCAUAUUUUAUUUGAAUUCAAUCUCCUCGAUCUUCAAUGAAUUGACAUGUAUUUUUAUAUGCAGUCAUGAAGAAUUGAAGAUGAUGAACAUAUGAGUUGUAUAUGUUGAUAUUGAUUGAUUGUAUAUCAGUUUAUGUAUAUGUUUUUUAAAAAAUAAUAAUAUUAUUUUAAGGUG